rnacentral:piRNA from 1 species
UUCAGCAAAUACUGAUGUUCAUCUCCAC